GCUCAGAACGAACGCUGGCGGCAGGCUUAACACAUGCAAGUCGAGCGCCCCGCAAGGGGAGCGGCAGACGGGUGAGUAACGCGUGGGAAUCUACCCUUGACUACGGAAUAACGCAGGGAAACUUGUGCUAAUACCGUAUGUGUCCUUCGGGAGAAAGAUUUAUCGGUCAAGGAUGAGCCCGCGUUGGAUUAGCUAGUUGGUGGGGUAAAGGCCUACCAAGGCGACGAUCCAUAGCUGGUCUGAGAGGAUGAUCAGCCACWUUGGGACUGAGACACGGCCCAAACUCCUACGGGAGGCAGCWGUGGGGAAUAUUGGACWAUGGGCGCAAGCCUGAUCCAGCCWUGCCGCGUGAGUGAUGAAGGCCCUAGGGUUGUAAAGCUUCUUUCACCGGAGAAGAUAAU
rnacentral:rRNA from 1 species